GGAGUGCAUGACUCAUCUCCUGGCCCCUCCAGGAAACCGGAGAAGGCAGAAAAGGGCAAGAAUGUUGUGUUGUCUUUGGGCUGUGGAGUUCAUGAUUAUGGACACUUUCUGAAUUAUUGGCACUAAGGGCACAUCCUGCUUAGCAUGGAGGCUGGACAGCUCUGGGAAAGCAGAGAUUCUUUUUAGGGAGUCCAGAGCAUUUUUUUCUUCUUUCUUAUCCCCUCUUUCCAAUAGAGAUGUCAGAAGGGUGACUGUUAGGGUUGAUACAUUAUGUGGUGCUCUGUUUUUUUGAGCAUUGUCUACUCAGAGUGAUUACCAAGGUGGAGCUCAUUAUGUUACCUGGCACCUGCAACUACUUGCCUCAUGUUGGACUAAAGUGGAAAGACUCCUAUUGGGAAUUCACUCAGGGAGGCACCAGGCAUUGUUAGAAAAGCAGUAUCGCAGAGCACUUAAGAGCUGAGCCUUGUGAUCGGGUGGACUUGGGUUUAUGUCCUCGCACUGUCGCUUCCUAGAUUUAUGACCUCAGUUUCCUCAUUUCUAAAGUAGAGACAGGGAUGGAGGGUGGGGAGAAUAUGAAUUAAUUUGGAUUAAAUGGAUGAGAAUCAGAAGUAUUUAUUUGGAAUUGGUGUGAAUUGGAGCACAUGGGGAACUGAAA
rnacentral:lncRNA from 10 species